UAGUCUGGCGGGUGCUUAUACAUGCAAGUCGAACGGAGUGUUAGCAAUAGCACUUAGUGGCGAACGGGUGAGUAACGCGUUGGUGACCUGCCCUAGAUCGUGGGAUAACAGUUCGAAAGGACUGCUAAUACCGCAUGAAGUCAUCGAGGUUAGAGGCUUGAUGACGAAAGGCGAAAGUCGAUAUAGGAGGGACCUGCGUCCCAUCAGCUAGUUGGUGAGGUAACGGCCCACCAAGGCGACGACGGGUAGGGGGCCUGAGAGGGUGACCCCCCACACUGGCACUGAAACACGGGCCAGACACCUACGGGUGGCAGCAGUAGGGAAUAUUGCACAAUGGGCGCAAGCCUGAUGCAGCAACGCCGCGUGAACGAUGAAGGCCUUCGGGUCGUAAAGUUCUUUUUGAGGAGACGAGGAAGGACGGUAUCCUCAGAAUAAGGAUCGGCUAACUACGUGCCAGCAGCCGCGGUAAAACGUAGGAUCCGAGCGUUAUCCGAAUUCACUGGGCGUAAAGCGCGUGCAGGCGGUACAGCAAGUUGGAUGUAAAAUCUCCUGGCUCAACUGGGAGGGGACGUACAAAACUGCUGAACUAGAGGACGGCAGAGGAAGGUGGAAUUCCCGGUGUAGUGGUGAAAUGCGUAGAUAUCGGGAGGAACACCAGUGGCGAAGGCGGCCUUCUGGGCCGUACCUGACGCUCAGACGCGAAAGCUAGGGGAGCAAACGGGAUUAGAAACCCCGGUAGUCCUAGCCGUAAACGAUGUAGACUGGGUGUAGGUGGUGUAAAAACCACCUGUGCCGAAGCAAACGCGAUAAGUCUACCGCCUGGGGACUACGGCCGCAAGGUUAAAACUCAAAGGAAUUGACGGGGGCCCGCACAAGCAGCGGAGCGUGUGGUUUAAUUCGAUGCUACGCGAAGAACCUUACCCGGGUUUGACAUGCAGGUAGUAGGGAACUGAAAGGGGACCGACCCUUCGGGGAGCCUGCACAGGUGCUGCAUGGCUGUCGUCAGCUCGUGUCGUGAGAUGUCCGGUUAAGUCCGGUAACGAGCGCACCCACGUCGUAUGUUACAGUGUCAUACGAUACUGCCGUAUAAGCGAGAGGUGUGGAUGACGUCAAGUCAGCAUGCUUUAUGUCGGGCUACACACCCGCUACAUGCAGUACAAUGGGUAGCAAAGCCCGCGAGGUUGGAGCAUCCCUCAAGCCUGGUUCCAGGUCUAGAAGUG
rnacentral:rRNA from 1 species